UAGUGAUUAACGCGAAGAACCUUACCCAGGCUUGAACAGCGAGUGACCAUUCCCGAAAGGGAACUUCCGCAAGGACACUCGUAGAGGUGCUGCAUGGCUGUCGUCAGCUCGUGUCGUGAGAUGUUGGGUUAAGUCCCGCAACGAGCGCAACCCUUGUUUGCUGUUGCCAUCAGGUUAAGCUGGGCACUCUGCAAAGACUGCCGGUGAUAAACCGGAGGAAGGUGGGGAUGACGUCAAGUCAGCAUGGCCUUUAUGUCUGGGGCUACACACGUGCUACAAUGGCCGGUACAAACCGUCGCGAUACCGCAAGGUGGAGCUAAUCGGAGAAAGCCGGUCUCAGUUCGGAUCGUAGGCUGCAACUCGCCUGCGUGAAGUUGGAAUCGCUAGUAAUCGCGGAUCAGCACGCCGCGGUGAAUACGUUCCCGGGCCUUGUCACACCGAAUCGAAUUC
rnacentral:rRNA from 1 species